rnacentral:rRNA from 1 species
CUUGGUCAAUUUAGAG